rnacentral:rRNA from 1 species
GACGGACGCUGGCGGCGUGCUUAACACAUGCAAGUCGAACGAAGAGCGAUGGAAGCUUGCUUCUCUCAAUCUUAGUGGCGAACGGGUGAGUAACGCGUAAUCAACCUGCCCUUCAGAGGGGGACAACAGUUGGAAACGACUGCUAAUACCGCAUACGAUCUAAUCUCGGCAUCGAGGAUAGAUGAAAGGUGGCCUCUACAUGUAAGCUAUCACUGAAGGAGGGGAUUGCGCCUGAUUAGCUAGUUGGAGGGGUAACGGCCCACCAAGGCGAUGAUCAGUAGCCGGUCUGAGAGGAUGAACGGCCACAUUGGGACUGAGACACGGCCCAGACUCCUACGGGAGGCAGCAGUGGGGAAUCUUCCGCAAUGGACGAAAGUCUGACGGAGCAACGCCGCGUGAGUGAUGACGGCCUUCGGGUUGUAAAGCUCUGUUAAUCGGGACGAAAGGCCUUCUUGCGAAUAGUGAGAAGGAUUGACGGUACCGGAAUAGAAAGCCACGGCUAACUACGUG